rnacentral:rRNA from 1 species
UACGUAGGGUGCAAGCGUUAAUCGGAAUUACUGGGCGUAAAGCGUGCGCAGGCGGUCUGCUAAGAGAGAUGUGAAAUCCCCGGGCUUAACCUGGGAACUGCGUUUCUAACUGGCAGGCUUGAGUGUGGCAGAGGGGGGUGGAAUUCCACGUGUAGCAGUGAAAUGCGUAGAGAUAUGGAGGAACACCGAUGGCGAAGGCAGCCCCCUGGGCUAACACUGACGCUCAUGCACGAAAGCGUGGGGAGCAAACAGG